rnacentral:lncRNA from 1 species
UUUGCUUGAUUUUCUUAAUAUUUGGCAACUUAUUCAAAUCAAAAACAACAUAUCUAAGUAUGAACUCAAAGAAGAAUAAAAACAUGCAUUUAUUUAUAUUGACACUAUGUUAAGGAUAAGAACUCAAUAAAAGGGAAUAAAUAAAUGAAACUUUCUUAAAAAAAUAUAAUAAAAUAGAAAUAAAAAAUAUGUAUAUUAAAAAAAAACUA